rnacentral:rRNA from 1 species
CCGGCGCACGGGUGAGUAACGCGUAUGCGACCUGCCCGUUGCAGGGGGAUAAUCGGGAGAAAUCCCGUCUAAUACCGCGUAACGCCGCGGGGCUGCAUGGCCCUGCGGCCAAAGGGAGCGAUUCCGGCAACGGAUGGGCAUGCGUGACAUUAGCUAGUUGGCGGGGCAACGGCCCACCAAGGCGACGAUGUCUAGGGGUUCUGAGAGGAAGGUCCCCCACCACUGGUACUGAGACACGGACCAGACUCCUACGGGAGGCAGCAG